rnacentral:misc_RNA from 1 species
AGUUAAGUUGAUUACUUUUGAUGGCAAAGAACCUAGGGCUUGGCUAAGAAAAUGUACCAAGUAUUUUGAGGUAUAUGGGGUUCCUAAGGAUCAAAUGGUGGGAAUAGCAAGUUUAUUUUUGAUAGAAAGGGCUGAUGCAUGGUAUCAUAACUGGGUUAAGGGUGAUGGAGGUCAUUCUUGGGAAGAUUUUGAGAGGGAAUUGUGUGGCAGGUUUGGGGAUGAAGGAUUAGGGGAUGUAGUUGAAGAAUUCAUGAGGUUAAGGCAACAAAGCACUCUUGAGAAGUAUCAAGAUAAAUUUGAAGAUAUUAGAAUUAGGUUGGAAAGGAUGAUGCCUAAUCUUGGAGAAGCUUAUUUUCUGUCAAGUUUUUUUGGGGUUUGAAGGAUGAUAUUAGACCUAUGGUUAAGAUGAUGAAGCCCGUGAAUCUUUCUCAAGCUACUGAGGUUGCAAGAUUGCAAGAGCAACUCAUAAACUCUACCAGGAAACCAAUUUCUUAUUCUAGACCCUACCAAAAUGAUAUCGUUUCAUCUUCAGUGCCUAUUACCUAUAAACCUAAUCAACCUACUCAGAAUUAUCCUUAUGCUCCUAAACCCCCUAUAACAGACCAGAAUGCCAAUUUAAAACAACCAAAUUCUGUGCAGAAAACCUUACCUACUACCAGUCAAUCUUCUAUAAAUCAGCCGUCACUAAGACUAAUUCCAUCAAUUCCACUAAUCCAAAUUCAAUUAAGCAAUCCAAACCCUGCUUUAAGUGUGGAGAAAAAUACAACCUUGGCCAUCAAUGUAAACAGAAAACAUUAAUGUCCUUGCAAGUGACUAAGAAGGAAAGAGAAAUUUUCCUAUUGUAGGGAAACGAAGAAGAGGAGGAAGAAUGGCAUGAUGCAAUGCAGGGAGAUGAACUACCCGACAAUGAUAAGGCAAUAACUCUUUCAGUUCAUGCUUUGAAGGGAAUUCAAAAGGCUGAAACUAUUAGGGUUAUUGGCAAGUUUCAAAACAGGGAAUUUUCCUAAUUCUGGUGGACAGUGGAAGUAGCAUAGCUUCUUGGAUACCAAAGUAGCUAGGGAAUUGAAAGUUCCAUUUGUAGAAGUAACUGCAAUUUUUUUUAAGGUAGCAGAUGGUAGAAAAAUUGGUAGUGCUUGUAUUUGCCUGCAUUUAGCUAAAAGAUUCAUCAAUAUCCUUUCAGCUUUGACUUCAGGUUAUUAGAAAUGGGCAAUUUUGAUAUGAUCCUUGGAGUUGAUUGGCUUAAAACACUUUAAUCCAAUUUUAUUUGAUUUCCAGUAUUCUAAAAUCAGUUUCAAGA